GCUGGGUGCAGUACCCCACACCUGUAAUCCCAGUUGCUUGGGAGGCUGAGGCAGGAGGAUCACGAGUUCAAAGCCAGCCUCAA
rnacentral:sRNA from 1 species